rnacentral:rRNA from 1 species
UACGUAGGGGGCUAGCGUUGUCCGGAAUUAUUGGGCGUAAAGAGCGCGCAGGCGGUCGUUCAAGUCGCGUGUGAAAGCCCCCGGCUCAACUGGGGAGGGUCACGCGAUACUGAUCGACUCGAAGGCAGGAGAGGGUAGUGGAAUUCCCGGUGUAGUGGUGAAAUGCGUAGAUAUCGGGAGGAACACCAGUGGCGAAGGCGACUACCUGGCCUGUUCUUGACGCUGAGGCGCGAAAGCUAGGGGAGCAAACGGG